CCUACGGGUGGCAGCAGUGAGGAAUAUUGGUCAAUGGACGCAAGUCUGAACCAGCCAUGCCGCGUGAAGGAUGACGGCCCUAUGAGUUGUAAACUGCUUUUGUACGAGAGUAAACGCAGAUACGCGUAUCUUUUUGAAAGUAUCUUACGAAUAAGGAUCGGCUAACUCCGUGCCAGCAGCCGCGGUAAUACGGAGGAUUCAAGCGUUAUCCGGAUUUAUUGGGUUUAAAGGGGGCGUAGGUGGUUGGUUAAGUUAGUGGUGAAAGUCUGAGGCUCAACUGUGGAAUUGCAAUUGAUACUGGUCGUCUAGAGAGUAGUUGCGGUAGGCGGAAUGUAUGGUGUAGCGGUGAAAUGCUUAGAGAUCAUACAGAACACCGAUUGCGAAGGCAGCUUACCAAGCUACUUCUGACAUUGAGGCACGAAAGCGUGGGGAGCAAACAGGAUUAGAUACCCCGGUAGUC
rnacentral:rRNA from 1 species